rnacentral:rRNA from 1 species
UACGAAGGGGGCGAGCGUUGUUCGGAUUUACUGGGCGUAAAGGGCGCGCAGGCGGCUCAUUUUGUCAGGCGUGAAAGCCCAGGGCUUAACUCUGGAAUUGCCUUUAAGACUGCAUCGCUAGAAUCGUGGAGAGGUGAGUGGAAUUCCGAGUGUAGAGGUGAAAUUCGUAGAUAUUCGGAAGAACACCCGUGGCUAAGGCGGCUCUCUAGUACGGCACUGACGCUGAGACGCGAAAGCGUGGGGAGCGAACAGG